UCAGCCUCCUCCAGAUCUGAUCGCCUCCUCUCUCCUCUCUUUCUCUCUCUCCCCUCACCUCCUCCAGAUCUGAUCGGUUCCUCUCUCUUCUCUCUCUCUCCCUCUCUCCCCCCCCCUUUCAGAUCUAACUCCAAGUAGAUGAGCUCCUCUCUCUUCUUUCUCUCUCCUUCAGAUCCAUGACUCCAAGUGGAUUCUAGAGCUUGGGUAUUCAUUGUUCUCCCUCGAAGCUGGUUGCUCACUCCUCCCUCAAAGCUCAUUCUUUGAAUCUUGUUGCGUCGUAGCUCGUCGUCCCUCGAAUUUCGUUGUCGACUUCUCCCUUGAAUUUCAUCGUCGACUUCUCUCGAAUCUCGUCGUCUACUCCUCCCUUGAAUUUUGUCGACUCCUCCCUGGAAUUUUGUCGACUCCUCCCUCGAAUUUCGUUUUAUUUUUUGUCGGCUUUGCGAAAAUCCCUGCCUUUCUUAGUGGAAAUCGUCGGGUUUUUGCUUGAUUUGUUAGAUUUCGGAAAUUACAGGUUGGUCACUUGCAUCUUGUGAAAUCAUAUAUGGUCGUGGUACAGAGCAAUAAUGUAUUUGCUAUGAAUGAAGCUUUGAAUGAAAUCUAUGUUGAAGAAGAAGAUUAUGAAAGGCUAAGGGAAAUCUAUGUUGAAGAAGAAGAUUAUGAAAGGAUAAGGGAAUCCAUUGAGUUGCAUGAUAACUACAGUUUGCUAUUUUUUUAAAAUAGUGAAUCUACAGCUUGCUAAGUACAAACAUGAAAUUUGUAUGGCAAAUUUUUCUUGUGUGCAAGCAGAUUGAAAAGCAUGAGCUUCUUGAAAUGAUACGGGUUGCUGCAUAUAUUUAUAAGAAAGCUGGAAGAUGGACACAGUCUGAGGAAUUGCUUGAUAUUUAUAAAAAAAGACAAAAUGUACAAAGAUGCUAUGGAGACGUGUUCUCAUUCUGGUGAAAGGGAGCACUCUGAGGAAUUACUUGUUUAUUUCAUUGUGCAGGCAGGGGACUGCUUGAGUAAAGUCUAGGCAGUAGAGAUUUUCCUUCUUAACUGCUGCUCAAAUGGCUAUAAGAGUUGUGAAGUUUGCAAGAAAAUUAUCGCAAGGAAAGAAUUGCAUGCAUGAGUUAAAAUGAAAGCUUGAACAGGUUGAAAUUUAUUUUGAGGAAAAAAUUACCCUUAAGUGAUCAACGCAAGUAAGUUUUUAAUUAGUGUAUUUUAAUUUGUGUUGUUUCUGUGUUAUAAUCUUGGGACAUAGUUAAUUUUUGAA